rnacentral:hammerhead_ribozyme from 1 species
AUCCAGCUGACUACGAGUCCCAAAUAGGAUGAAAUGUGCGUUCUGGAU